AACGAACGCUGGCGGCAGGCCUAACACAUGCAAGUCGAACGGGACCUUCGGGUCUAGUGGCGGACGGGUGAGUAACGCGUGGGAACGUGCCCUUUGGUUCGGAAUAGCCUCGGGAAACUGGGAGUAAUACCGGAUACGGUCGGAAGACGAAAGAUUUAUCGCCGAAGGAUCGGCCCGCGUUGGAUUAGGUAGUUGGUGGGGUAAAGGCCUACCAAGCCGACGAUCCAUAGCUGGUUUGAGAGGAUGAUCAGCCACACUGGGACUGAGACACGGCCCAGACUCCUACGGGAGGCAGCAGUGGGGAAUCUUAGACAAAUGGGGGAAACCCGUAGAUCUAGCCACUGCCGCCGUGAUCGAUGAAGGCC
rnacentral:rRNA from 1 species